UUAUAGCAUAACUUUUAUUAACCAUUAAAGAAAUAUAAAUAGAUAAAUGUAUUUCUUACUUAUUUAAUUAUUACUUGUCCUAUAUGGAUUUCCCAUUUGCUGUAAUAUUAAUUUUUAAAUUUUAGUAUCUACACCUGGUAAGUUAAACAACUCUUACUUUUUAAUGUGCAAACUUUACAAUAUGUUUAACUUUAGUUCCUUAGUCAUGUGUUGCAACUAGUAAUUAAAAAAAACUAUUACAUUUAAUGUGUAUACAUUUCUCGUUAUUUGCAAUAUAGAUUUUUUGUUACAACUUUGUAAUUUUAGUAUCUACCUCUUGUGCUACACCUGGUAAAUUAAACAACUCUUUUUAAUGCGCACAAAUUUCUUAUUGAUUGCAAUUAACAUCUUCAGCUGUCACGCCAAUUCCAUCUGCACCACCUUCAAACGGUAAAUUUAUGAAUCUGGAAUGUCUCUGAUUGAUUAUUGAGUUCAUCUUAUUCCUAUUUAUAUAAUCUAUUUAAUACUUUUGUGUUUUGUUAUCUCUUCAAGUGCUAUAAAAGGAGAAUCAGAAGCUUAUACAUGUUUAAAUUUUUAUUCUGAUUAACUUUUAUUUAAAAUUUCAUUGAUUCAUUAAUCAUUCAUUAUAUUUAUUCAGACAAACUGUCUUAGUAAGUAUUUAUUUUAAUUGCAUGAAUUACAAAUACAUUCAUAUUUUAUUUGUUUUUAAAGCUUAUAUAUGAAGCUUAUAGGUCAUUUUGAACCUAAAAUUAAAAUCAUUUACUAAAAGCCAAGCCAGAGUAAUUACUAUGUUUCAAAACAUUUUUUUAUUUUUUUUUUAAAUUAGGUUGGUGGGUUAAAUAUGAUCAUUUAAAUGAGAAAGUGUAUACUAGUGCAACUUGUAAUCUGGGUGUUAUUACAUCACAACCACAUCUAUGGCCAACUCUAAGAUCACUUUAUUUUGUUUGGCAGUGUUUUGGAAUCAAGUUAUGGCAAUAUUUUGUGUAUAAAAUAUAACAAUAACAUUAAAAAAGUGCUUAUUUCUGACAAAAACUUGUAUUUUCUUAAGGGUUAGAUGGUGUUUUAUUACCCCCUUUAGCUUCCAAAAUACGCCCUACAUCCAGGCACCAAAAUGAACUUGUAGCCCAUUAGUGCACCUAUCUUGUGAUACCAAGAUAUAGGUAUUUGGAUAAAAAUUGACAAAGUUAAAAUAAUUUAAGUGAAAAAAAUAAUUAUUUUGACCACAGUUUCUUCAACAAUUCCAUAUAUCUAAAAUUUGCAACUGAAAAUGUUAUAACUUUUUUUAGAAUUGUUCGUUUUUAAUAAUUUUUUCAUCUUUAAAAUACUGUAUUGAAGGCGUUUC